UAUCAGUAAAAAUUAUUACUGAUAAAUAAUAAUUUGCGACCAUCAUAGAUAAUAAAGAAUUAUCUAUAGCGAUAAUGAUAAAAUAUAAAUUGAUGACAAUUUUUUCGCUAAACAGAAUAUUAUUAUUUUUUUUUUUUUGUCAUUACAUUGUUAUAUUCCACUGUGUGAUGUUAGUUUAUACUCAUUUUUUAAUGAUGAUGAGUGACAUUACAACAAAUAGUAAGCCGACAAAAGGCCAGAUGAAAUUGUUGGUGGAGUUAUUAUCUUUAGACCCUCAUCUUAACGCUGGAAAAUGUGCAGUCAAUUUCUCCCAUAAAAUAGCCAGAGAUCGGUGGGAGAAGCUAUUGCCUCCAAAUCGAAUGUUGAUUGUUUUUUUCAAUCUUAAAUUUUUUUCUGAAUAGCGAAUGUUUGGGUUAGGUAAUUUUAUCUCGUUUUGUUUGUAGUUUAUUCUUCGUAUCGUUGUUUUUUUCGAUUUCGGGUCGUGAAAAAAAAUAAUUAUAUUAUCUCGUUAAAUAUGGCAAUGAUAAUGGUAUUAUAAUAUUUUUAAGUACCCGUUUGAAAUAAAAUAAAAUGGUAAUACCUAUUACAGAACCUAGUUGAAUUUCAAUAAUAACACAGAUAACAUUGAUAUUACAUAAAAAAUUGUACGGCCCGUGAUCAAUACAAUUUUAUCAUUUUUCAAGAAUUUCACUUUCUACGUCUCCCGUAAU